GAACGCAGACGACAAAGAGAGCCAUCUGUUGACAGUCAUAUAUUGCAACUGUCAUGGAAUUGCUCUCUUUACAUGCCUGUGU
ncrna:length=11739